AUUGAACGCUGGCGGCAGGCCUAACACAUGCAAGUCGAACGGUAACAGGAAGCAGCUUGCUGCUUUGCUGACGAGUGGCGGACGGGUGAGUAAUGUCUGGGAAACUGCCUGAUGGAGGGGGAUAACUACUGGAAACGGUAGCUAAUACCGCAUAACGUCGCAAGACCAAGGAGGGGGACCUUCGGGCCUCUUGCCAUCGGAUGUGCCCAGAUGGGAUUAGCUUGUUGGUGGGGUAACGGCUCACCAAGGCGACGAUCCCUAGCUGGUCUGAGAGGAUGACCAGCCACACUGGAACUGAGACACGGUCCAGACUCCUACGGGAGGCAGCAGUGGGGAAUAUUGCACAAUGGGCGCAAGCCUGAUGCAGCCAUGCCGCGUGUAUGAAGAAGGCCUUCGGGUUGUAAAGUACUUUCAGCGGGGAGGAAGGGAGUAAAGUUAAUACCUUUACUCAUUGACGUUACCCGCAGAAGAAGCACCGGCUAACUCCGUG
rnacentral:rRNA from 1 species